CUGAGUGCCACCCAAUGGAAAGGCAGCUCAUAAAAACAUGAUGGGUGUCCUCCUCCACCUCAUUCACUGGAUCCGGCACCUUUAACUUCUGCCUCUUCCCCAAAGUCAAAAUAACCAUGAAAGGUACAUGUUUUGAAUGGAUUCAAAACUACGCAAUGCAGCCGCAGCAGUGCAGCUGAAGACACUCACAAAAGAGGACGCCAGAGCCGUGUGCCUAAACAGCAAGGACAGUGGGCUGUGAUUAUGAUGAAGAGGGAGCUAAAACAUUCAUGGACUGAAGAGGCAAGAUUUCCCUAAAAGCAGGAAGUCAGGUGCCAGAUUAUGAAGAACGGGUUUUCAGAAACAGUGCAUUACUCCUUCCAGGCCCUUUCACCUCAUCAACAAACCAGGCCAGGUGCUGCGUGCUAAGUGGGAAGAAUGCGGGGCUGAGAAGGAGCCCUUCAUUCACAGCGCACAGUGCUCUACUCCCGCAACUUGCAAGAACACAGGUUCGUGUGAGCUCACCUUUGCGGUCCACGGCACCUGGCUCCGAGGCAGAAGAGCAGGUCUGAGUAAGCUGUCCAGGUCGCGGAGGCCAGGAGCCCGGCGAGAGCCAGCAGCUGGGGGAUAUAAACCUCCCCACCACGGCCCCCGAGGCCACUCCUGCUGACCGGUCCCGCCUCCGACAACACGUCCAGCUCUGGACUCACUCGGACGUGAGCUCACCCACGGGGGAGUGCGACCCUCCCGGGAUCCAGUCACCUUCCGAACAUGUGAGGCUCGGGGCCACUUUACAGCUCAACCCUGACAUGCAGGGAGACGGGAAAGAGAGCAGAGUGAUGGCAUCUGUCCGGGGAGCUGGCACAGGGGGCACUCCCGUCCAGCGCUCUUCUCCUCCUGUCUCCUCUGUCCCAGAUCACCUCCCCAGCCCCACAGUAUCUACCUCCACGGUGCCCAUCCUGCCGAGGCCGCAGCACUGAGUGAAGUAAAUCAGACCCAGAAGAUCAACUGUUGUAUGGUUUCUCUCAAUGAAAAACUCAAAGUAUAAAUAAUC